GUUAGGAAUAUUGGACAAUGGGCGCAAGCCUGAUCCAGCCAUGCCGCGUGCAGGAUGAAGGCCUUCGGGUUGUAAACUGCUUUUGUACGGAACGAAAAGGCUCUGGUUAAUACCUGGGGUCCAUGACGGUACCGUAAGAAUAAGCACCGGCUAACUACGUGCCAGCAGCCGCGGUAAUACGUAGGGUGCGAGCGUUAAUCGGAAUUACUGGGCGUAAAGCGUGUGCAGGCGGUUUUGUAAGACAGGCGUGAAAUCCCCGGGCUCAACCUGGGAACUGCAUUUGUGACUGUAUAGCUAGAGUACGGUAGAGGGGGAUGGAAUUCCGCGUGUAGCAGUGAAAUGCGUAGAUAUGCGGAGGAACACCGAUGGCGAAGGCAAUCCCCUGGACCUGUACUGACGCUCAUGCACGAAAGCGUGGGGAGCAAACAGGAUUAGAUACCCCAGUAGUCC
rnacentral:rRNA from 1 species